AUGUAAUUUGAUGUAUAGAGUAUGCAGAUAUGCAAGUAAUAACAUGCACUAUCACCGCGGAUGAUUUCUUGUUUAAUGUGUUAUUUCUGCUAAUGUGUUAAGAUUUCUCUCAUUUAUCUAACUUCAUUUAUAAUGGGAUUUCUCUACUAUAUUAGAAAGGACAGUUGGGUUGGACGAACACGGGUAAACAUGUGAUUCUAUUUUUUUUUUCAAGAGAAUAUUGAUUCACAAUCUUCAUUCUCCCUUAUUCUCCUUGCUUUGUUUCUUUAUUUUAUUUUUUGUGCAUCGUAUGUACUUUUUACUGUUUGAUAUAUACACUAAUAUGGUCUUUACUGUGUGUGAAUACAUGCUUGUGGUUGAUUGUUUAAACUCUUCUAUGAAAGUACACUAAAUUUACCAUCAGAAAGAAAAAAAGUAGUAAUGAAAAAGGAAGAACUUUGAUGCAACAAUGAUGUUUGACGAUGUGCCUCAAGUACUAAAUAACUUUCAUUCUUUUUUCUUUAUUAUCAUUUUUCCUGUAGGUGUUCUAAUAUUGAUAUCAUCAUCCGGCAACCUCAAAGGGAAAUACAAUAAUGACUAAAGAAUUAUAUUGUUGAAUACUGCACUGAGUUGAGAACCUCGAAUUUUGAAGAUGGUUUCUAGGAAAGACAACUGCAGACAGGUAAUCAGACCUUUUUCAGCUACAGCGAAAAAUAGAGACAUUAGAGAAACUUUCAGCACUUUCUUGAGUAAAUUAGUCUUGAUGGCAAAAUAUAUUCCGGCAUACUGCUACAAUUUAGGCACAUCCUAAGGAGAAGAUUUUGUAGUAAUUCAUGUUUUUCAAUCUUACUGUUGAAUAGGCAAUCAGUGAGUCAAUUUUAUUGUUUCCCUUCUGUUUCAUGUCUGUUGCCAUCUGCAUAUAUAAUCAUGAAGAUGGAGUUGUGUUUGCUUAUAGUUUUUGCAAAGAAUAUUUAGU